GAACCUUAGGGCAUAUUCAUAGGCGGAGGAAAAGAAACUACAGGAUUCCCCUAGUACGGCGAGUGAAGCGGGAAGAGCUCAAAUUUAAAAUCUGGCCGGGUUACCGGUCCGAGUUGUAGUUUAAAGAAGUGUUUUCGGCGGCAACCUGGGUACAAGUCCUUUGGAACAGGGCAUCAUAGAGGGUGAGAAUCCCGUCCAUGACUCAGUGGAUGCUGCUAUGUGAUACACUUUCAAAGAGUCGAGUUGUUUGGGAUUGCAGCUCAAAAUGGGUGGUAAAUUUCAUCUAAAGCUAAAUACAGGCGAGAGACCGAUAGCGAACAAGUACCGUGAGGGAAAGAUGAAAAGAACUUUGAAAAGAGAGUUAAACAGUGCGUGAAAUUGUUGAAAGGGAAACGUUUGGCACCAGUCAUGCGUUCAGGAAAUCAGUCUAUCGAGGUGGGGAGCUGCAGAGGUUUGGACCGCAAGGCCAGCUUUUGUUGCAUUUCUGUCUGGAUGGAUGCACUUUUCUGUAUGCAGGUCAACAUCAGUUUUGUUCGCCGGACAAAACCUCAAGAGAAUGUGGCAGCUUUGGCUGUGUUAUAGCUCUGGGGCGAUACGGUGGGUGAGACUGAGGCUUUCAGUGUGUGCUUUCGGGCAAGGCUGACCGGGUGCUGCGGGCCAGUACGAGGUACAAUACAUGUAUUUUGCUUCGUGUCUGGUUUGCACUCGCUCGAAUCGGCUCUUCCACGCUUAGGAUGUUGACAUAAUGGUUCUAAACGACCCGUCUUGAAACACGGACCAAGGAGUCUAACAUAUAUGCGAGUGUUUGGGUGGCAAACCCAUGCGCGUAAUGAAAGUGAACGUAGGUGCGAUCCGCAAGGUGCAGCAUCGACCGAUCUUGAUAUUUUUGGAUAGAUUUGAGUAAGAGCAUAUAUGCUGGGACCCGAAAGAUGGUGAACUAUGCCUGAAUAGGGUGAAGCCAGAGGAAACUCUGGUGGAGGCUCGUAGCGAUUCUGACGUGCAAAUCGAUCGUCAAAUUUGGGUAUAGGGGCGAAAGACUAAUCGACUUAUC
rnacentral:rRNA from 2 species